rnacentral:rRNA from 1 species
GAUGAACGCUGGCGGCGUGUCUAAUACAUGCAAGUCGAGCGAACGGACGAGAAGCUUGCUUCUCUGAUGUUAGCGGCGGACGGGUGAGUAACACGUGGAUAACCUACCUAUAAGACUGGGAUAACUUCGGGAAACCGUAGCUAAUACCGGAUAAUAUUUUGAACCGCAUGGUUCAAAAGUGAAAGACGGUCUUGCUGUCACUUAUAGAUGGAUCCGCGCUGCAUUAGCUAGUUGGUAAGGUAACGGCUUACCAAGGCAACGAUGCAUAGCCGACCUGAGAGGGUGAUCGGCCACACUGGAGCUGAGACACGGUCCAGACUCCUACGGGAGGCAGCAGUAGGGAAUCUUCCGCAAUGGGCGAAAGCCUGACGGAGCAACGCCGCGUGAGUGAUGAAGGUCUUCGGAUCGUAAAACUCUGUUAUUAGGGAAGAACAUAUGUGUAAGUAACUGUGCACAUCUUGACGGUACCUAAUCAGAAAGCCACGGCUAACUACGUG